rnacentral:lncRNA from 10 species
AGAUGCUACUUUAUUCAGCUUUUAAAAUGACCCAAUAAUAAAUUAUUUGGGGAGUACACAAUUGAUGGCACGGAGGCAACAGACAUCAGUUUGCAGGUAGACUAAACAAUACUACUAACACACUUGAUAAUGAUAAUACAUAUGUUACUGGUUUAUGUAUUCACUAUACUAUACUUUUUAUUGUUAUUUUAAAGUAUACACUUUCUUUUUGUUUUUUUUAAGUUAACGGUAAAACAGGCUCAGGCUAGUCCUUCAGGAAGUAUUCUAAAGGUAUCAUUACCCAUAGCAGAUGACACCUCUAUGUCUGUUACUGCCUCUGAAAACCUUCCAGUAGGACAAGAUGUGGAAGUGGAAAACAGUGAUAUUGAUGAUCCUGACCCUGUGGUAGGCCUAGGUAAUGUGUGUGUUCGUGUCUUAGUUUUUAACAGAAAAGUUUUAAAAGUUAAAAAAUAAUAAUUAAAAAAUUUCAAAACAAAAAAGCUUACAGAAAAAGGAUAUAAAGAAAAAAACAUUUGUACAACUGUACAAUGUGUGUUCUCAGCAAGGUGUUAUAAAAAUGUCAAAAAAUUUUUUAUUUUUAUUUUUUAAAGUAGAGACAAGGUCUCGUUAUGUUACCCAGGCUGGUCUCAAAUUCCUGAGCUCCAGCAAUCCUCCCACCUAGGCCUCCCAAAAUGCUGGGAUUACUGGCAUGAGCUACUGUGCCCAUCCUCAAAAAGUUUUAAAAGUUUUAAAAUUUAUAAAGUAGAAAAGUUACAGUAAGCUAAGGUUAAUUCUUAUUAAAGAAAUAUAUUUUUUAAUAAAUUUAGGGUAGCCUAGGAGUACAGUGCUUAUAAAGUCUGCAUCAAUGUACAGUAAUGUCCUAAGUCUUCACAUUCACUCACUGCUCACUCAUUGAGAGCAACUUCCAGUACUGCACACUCCAUUCAUAGUAAGCAUCCCAUUAAGGUGUUACUUUUUAUACCAUAUUUUAAUAUACAGAAAUAAUAGGAAAAAAAUCAACAAUACUGAGUGUUUUUUUUAAAGAUCAACCAAGUUCAUCAACCUUUAUCUAGAGUAAGAAAAAAACAGAAAAAUUAAAUUAAAAAUAAUUAUAACAGACUACUAUGAAAAAUCAUAUGCCAACAAAUUAGAUAACAUAGAAGAAAUGGAUAAAUUCCUAGAAACAUACAACCUACCAAGACUGAAUCGUGAAGAAACAGAAAAUCUGAACAGACAUACAACUAGUCUGUUAUAGAGAGUGAAUCAGUAAUCAAAAAUCUCCCAACAAAGAAACAUGCAGAUGGUAACAUUAGGGCAUGUUACCGAACAUUUAAAGAAUUACUGCCAAGCCUUCUCACACUCUUCCGAAAAACUGAAGGAGGGAAUACUUCCUAACUUCUUUCACGAGGCCAGCAUUACAUCAAUACCAAAGCCAAAGAAGCUAUCAGACGAAAAGAAAACUACAGUCCAAUAUCCCUGAUAAAUACAGAUGCAAAGAUCCUCAACAAAAUAUUAGCGAAACUAAAUUCAACAGCACAUUGAAAGUGAAACUAAAUUCAACAGCACAUUAAAAGGAUUACACACCAUGGCAAAGUGAGAUUUAUCCCUGGGAUGAAAGGAUUAUUUAACAUAAAAAAAUCGGCCAGGCGCGGUGGUUCACGCCUGUAAUCCCAGCACUCUGGGAGGCUGAGGUGGGCGGAUCACUUGAGAUCAGGAGUUUGAGAACAGCCUGGCCAACAUGACGAAACCCCAUCUCUACUAAAAAUACAAAAAUUAGCCAGGCAUGGUGGCUGUGUGCCUGUAAUCACAGCUACUGAGGGGGCCGAGGCAUGAGAAUCACUUGAACCUAGGAGGCGGAGGUUGCAGUGAACCAAGAUCACACCACUGCACUCCAGCCUGGGUGACAGAGUGAGACUCCAUCUCAAAAACAACAACAACAACAUAUGAAAAUCAAUCAAUGUGAUACACCACAUUAAAAGCAAGAAGGAUAAAUGUCACACAAUCAUCUCAAUAAACAAAAAGCUUUUGACAGAAGUCAACAUAUUUUCAUAAUACUGAACAAACUAGAAAUAAAAGGAAAUAACCUCUACAUAAUAAAUGCCAUAUAUGAAAGUCCCACAGCUAACAUCAUAUUCAAGGGUUAAGAACUAAAAGGUUUUCUUCUAACAUCAGGAACAAGCUAGGAUACCUUCUCACCACUUCUAUUCAACGUAGUACUGGAAAGCCUAGAUAGAACAAUUAAGCAAGAAAAACAAAAGACAUCCAAAUUGGAAAGGAAGAAAUACAACUAUCUUUGUUUACAGACAACAUGAUAUUAUAUGUAGAAAACACUAAGGAUUCUACCAAAGAAAAAAAAAACUUAGAACUAAUAAAUAAUACAAAAUUCAUCAAUCUUUUAUAAGAUGCAAAAUCAACACAUAAAAAUCAGCUGCAUUUCUAUAUACUAACACUGAACAAUCUGAAAAGAAAAUUAAGAAAACAGUCCCAUUUACAAUAGCUUCAAAAAGAAUAAAAUGCUUAUGAAUAAACUUAUCCAGAGACAAAAGACUUGUCCACUAAAAACUACAAAACAUUGCUGAAAGAAAUUAAAGACGACACUGGAAAAGCUUCCCAUGGUCAUGGACUGAAAAAUUUAACAUUGUUAAAAUGUCCAUACUAUCCAAAGUGAUCUGCAGAUUCAAUGCAAUCUCUAUCAAAAGCCCAAUGGUAUUUUUUGCAGAAAUAAGGAAAUAAUCCUAAAUAUCAUAAGUAACCACAAGGAACUCCAAACACAAUUGUGAGAAAGAAGAACAAAGCUGGAGGCCUCCUACUUCCUAACUCCAAAACAUAUUACAAAGCUAGAGUAAUUAGAUCAGUUUGUUAGUGGCAUAAAGACAGACACACCAACUAAUAGAACAAAACUGAAAUCCCAAAAAUAAACCCACACGUAUACAGUCAAAUGAUCUUUGACUAGAGUGCCAAGACCCCACAAUGUGGAAAGGAUAGUUUCUUCAAAAAAUGGUA